AGAAAAGCAGGGGAUCGCAAGACCUUGCGCUCUUGGAGCGGCCGAUGUCUGAUUAGCUAGUUGGUGAGGUAAAGGCUUACCAAGGCGACGAUCAGUAGCUGGUCUGAGAGGACGACCAGCCACACUGGGACUGAGACACGGCCCAGACUCCUACGGGAGGCAGCAGUGGGGAAUUUUGGACAAUGGGGGAAACCCUGAUCCAGCCAUGCCGCGUGAGUGAAGAAGGCCUUCGGGUUGUAAAGCUCUUUCAGCCGGAACGAAACGGUCACGGCUAAUACCUGUGACUACUGACGGUACCGGAAGAAGAAGCACCGGCUAACUACGUGCCAGCAGCCGCGGUAAUACGUAGGGUGCAAGCGUUAAUCGGAAUUACUGGGCGUAAAGCGUGCGCAGGCGGUUUUGUAAGUCAGAUGUGAAAUCCCCGGGCUUAACCUGGGAACUGCGUUUGAAACUACAAAGCU
rnacentral:rRNA from 1 species